ACACGUAGGUGAUCUACCCCAGAGACGGGGAUAACGGGUGGAAACAUCCGCUAAUACCGGAUAGGCUUGUUCGGUCAAAGGGACAAGGAAAGGCUCCGGCGCCCUGGGAGGAGCCUGCGGCCCAUCAGCUAGUUGGCGGGGUAACGGCCCACCAAGGCAAAGACGGGUAGGGGGUGUGAGAGCAUGGCCCCCCACAAUGGGACUGGAACACGGCCCAUACUCCUACGGGAGGCAGCAGCAGGGAAUAUUGCACAAUGGACGGAAGUCUGAUGCAGCGACGCCGCGUGGAUGAAGAAGGCCCUCGGGUUGUAAAAUCCUUUACAGGGGGAAGAGGAAGGACGGUACCCCUGGAACAAGUGUCGGCUAACUACGUGCCAGCAGCCGCGGUAAGACGUAGGACACAAGCGUUAUCCGGAUUUACUGGGCGUAAAGCGUCUGCAGGCGGACAGGUAAGUUGGGCGUGAAAGCUCCGGGCCCAACCCGGAGAGGUCGUUCAAUACUGCGUGUCUAGAGGGUGUCAGAGGGGAGUGGAAUUUCCGGAGUAGCGGUAAAAUGCGCAGAGAUCGGAAAGAACACCAAUGGCGAAGGCAGCUCCCUGGGGCAACCCUGACGCUAAGAGACGAAAGCUAGGGGAGCGAACAGGAUUAGAGACCCUGGUAGUCCUAGCCCUAAACGAUGGAUGCUGGAUGUGGGGCCAUAGCGCUCCGUGUCGAAGCGAACGCGUUAAGCAUCCCGCCUGGGGACUACGGCCGCAAGGUUAAAACUCAAACGAAUUGACGGGACCCCGCACAAGCAGCGGAGCGUGUGGUUUAAUUCGAUGCUACACGAAGAACCUUACCUGGGUUUGACAUCUAGGUGGUAGUGAAGCGAAAGCGGAGCGACCCUUCGGGGAGCCUAGACAGGUGCUGCAUGGCUGUCGUCAGCUCGUGCCGUGAGGUCUCGGGUUAAGUCCCGUCACGAGCGCAACCCUUGCCCUCCGUUAUACGUGUCAGAGGGGACUGCCGGCGGUAAGCCGGAGGAAGGUGGGGACGACGUCAAGUCAGCAUGGCUUUUAUAUCCAGGGGUACACACUCGCUACAAUGGCCAGUACAAAGGGCAUGGGAAGCCUCGAGGUGGAGC
rnacentral:rRNA from 1 species